UGUGCAGAGAUGCUACCUGGUGUAUGUCUGGAAGACAGCAGAUUGUGGAUCCCAGGUGAUAUGCCUGCUUCCACUUCGCCUUCAGCCAUGAUUGCAAGUUUCCUGACACUUCCCUAGAAGCUGGGCAGAUGCUAGCAGAUGCUUCCUGUACAGCCUACAAAACUGUGAGCCAAUUUAACUCCUGUUCUUUACAAAUUACUUAGUCUCAGGUGUUUAUAGCAAUGCAAGAAUGGACUAAUGCGGACAGUAAUAUCUAAUACUAUGUAAAUAGUUGUUGUAACUGUAUUGUUUAAGGAAGAAUGACAAGAAACCAAUCUAUACAUGUUCAGUACAGAUGUAAUUUUUUAAAAAUAUUUUUGAUCCACCAUUGGUUGAAUCUGUGGAUGCAGAACUCACAGAUAUGGAGGCCCUACUCCUUA
rnacentral:lncRNA from 10 species